rnacentral:tRNA from 1 species
GUCGGUAGCUCAGAUGGAAGAGCAUCUGACUUUUAAUCAGGGGGUCGCGGGUCCGAGUCCCGCCCGACC